CAAGCCGCCGAUGUCGAGAUCACAAGCAACACGCCGAGCGUCAACCUUGAUACCUUCGCAGGGACGACCGCGCAUAUCGCCACCGGCGUCACCGUGGGAUCAGGAAAUCCGGCCAUCAGCGCCACAUUGCAGGCAUGGUCCGUUACCAACGACGGCACCGUGACCGGUGGGAAUACCGUAAAGCUUGACCAGGGCGGCACAUUUACCAACACGGCCGCGGCG
rnacentral:misc_RNA from 1 species